CUGGAGAACCCUGACUAAUACAGAGGCUCACCUCCCAAAUAAACUACUUGCAUGAGAAUCCUUAUCUCAGACUGUGCUUCCGGGCAAACAAAACUAAGACAGUAGAAUUCUAUUUGUAUGUGAUUAAACAUAAGUAGAAUGGCAAUAUAUUGUUAAGAGUAGGUAGAAUAGGUAGGUAAGGGUACAAAAGCUAGAGCAGACUGCCUUGGUUUGAAACCAGGGUUUACAAUUAACUAGCUGUGUGACUUUGAGCAAGUCACUUAACCUCUCUGUGCCUCAGUUUUCUCAUCUGCUGAAUGCAGAUGAUAACAAUAUUCACCUUUACUGUUGUUGUGAGGAUUAGAGUUAAAAUAUGUAAGGAAUUUAGAAUAGUGACUUACAUAGAGGAAGCACUCAAAGAAUGUUAGCUAUUAUUAUUAUUAAAGAUGUAUACAUUUACAAUAAAACCAUACGGGAAAUGUUAAAAACGAAAUUCAGAAAAAUGGUUACUUUUGGAAGGGCAGGAGCUUGAUGGGUUCACAGAGGGGUAUAUGAGGGUCUCAAAGGUAUUAGUCAUGUCCUGUGUUUUAAGUUGAGUAAUGGAUAUAUUUCUGUUGUUUUAUUAUUAUGCUCUAUAACUUACAUAUAAAUUACAUCUUUUUAAAUAUCUAUCAAAUAUUGCAUAAUUUUUAGAAGUCUAAAAAAAAAACAAUCUCCACCAAAUAUAUUCAAAGUUUUGUAUCCUUCACGAUCUUGGGGUCCUCUGCUUCAGCUCCAGUCAGCCCCCCACUGUCUUCCAGUAUUCCCCAUAGGCACCAGCCUCUUGGACCCACUCAGGGUGGCCCCUUCGAGGAAAGUGCCCAGGACACCUAUACCUUGCAAGGCUUCGGGGGCCCAGCCCAAAUCACAUGAUCCUUCUGGAGACACUGAGCAAUCUUGUACUGUUAUCUAUAAAAAUAUAUUGGUUUUUAAAAUUUUCUUUCCUUUUAAUGAGCACUGCACUUAAAACAUCAAACAAUUACUACAUGUUUAUUUUAGGAAAAAAGGAUAUUUGUGCAAAAGAAAAAAGUAUGCUCACAAGAUCCUCUCUCAGCUAUAACCACUGUUAAUAUCUUGAUGUAUAUCCUUUCGGAUUUUAUAUUAUACAUUUUAAAACAAAAUUACAUUUUAAAGAAAUGCUAUUAAGUGAUAUCCUUAACAUACCGGGACCAUUUUUCUCUUUUGCUUUUUUCAAUUAGACUCUCUCGUAGGAAGAAACAGCAGAGACGCUUCUGCUGCGAGGUCAGCAGAAGGAGGAAGAGUUUCCUGUAAGGACGCCCAGCACUAAGGAACACAGGGACCCAUGACACUCCUCGGAAGGGAAGCCAAGAACGAGCUCACGGAGCGAGCGGGACGCUCCGGGGAGGCUGGCGGCGGAGCUCGAGGUCUCCCGGUCAACAUUACAUGGUCAUCAGAAGUGGGAUCCAGAGAAAACCCCCAACAACUCUGAGGCUGGUGAGCAAAUAGGUACUAGUACCCACAGAGCCAUUGAGCUUUCUGCUUUCUUGCCGACCCUGGAGUUUGGGUGACAAGGUCCGCUUCUGCUGUUGGUCCCCUCCUGAUGAGAGGCUGUAAGAGGUUUUUCCCUAGUUUUCUGUUAUAUCAAAAUUAUUUCCUGUGCUUUAUUUUAAAGAUUUUAUUUUUUCCUUUUUCUCCCCAAAGCCCCCCUGUACACAGUUGUAUAUUCUUCAU